rnacentral:rRNA from 1 species
UACGAAGGGGGGCUAGCGUUGCUCGGAUUGACUGGGCGUAAAGGGCGCGUAGGCGGUUCGUACAGUCAGACGUGAAAUUCCUGGGCUCAACCUGGGGGGCUGCGUUUUGAUACGUGCGGACUUGAGUGCGGAAGAGGGUCGUGGAAUUCCCCAGUGUAGAAGUGAAAAUUCGUAGAUAUUGGGAAGAACACCGGUGGCGAAGGCGGCGACCUGGUCCGA